ACUUAACAUUUUUUUUUAAAGCUUGGACAUUUAUGCCCAUACAAAGGACAAGAUUUAUGAGAUGCCUCUCAAUCUAAAAGUCUUCCAUAGGAACUUUUAGCUUCAUCCGAUAACGCCGAUUCUUUCGUUGACCUCCUUUCAUUGAAACGAUCAGGUCAACUGAGACCUACUUACAUGAUGAGCUUUCGAGGUGGUCAAAGAAUCGAUCGUCCUUUACUUAUUCAUGAGAACUUUCCCAAUCCACAACAUGAGUCAUUUGAGUGGUCCAAUCCCCCUCGAAAUCUGGUCCCUCGUCAGUAGAACAACAAUGCCGGAAGUGAUCCCCUCCACCGUUUUCAUAACUGCCGUGAUCUCAGGUUUAUUGGUGAUUGUUCUAACCGGAUGGUUUGUCUUGAACGCCUUCUACUACAUUCGGGCUACCAUCUUCUACUUUGGGCACAAACGAAGAUGUAAACGAAAAAAUCGGCAUCGCGGCCAAGAAGAGGCCCUGAGAAUUUGGAAGAAAAACCACGAGUCUGAUUGGGUCAACUAUCGUUUCAACGUCCAAAUGAGCAUCGUGCAAGCCAAGAAAUUGCCGGCCCAUUGGACCGCUGACAUUUUGACACCGCCCUGUCCACCCCCGCCCACCAUCGAACCGUUAUCCCCCAGUGACUUGGAGUGGGAUGACGUCACACCCUGGCUGAAACCACCCAACUUUUGUCGUUAUUGGUGCAGUCGACAUCCCAAGUUCAAUUCUCGGCGGCAAGCGUUCAACGAGCAGCAUUUAUUCCGCCAUAAAACCAUGGACGAGUACACGGAAUGGAAACGUAGGAACGACGAGGAUGUCCAAGAAGCCAUUCGGAACCAUCCGAUUGCCAGCAAAUUCUUACAACUCAGCAAGAACGUGAACGAAUAUAGCGUUACAAAUCAGAAGUUCUAACACGCUCGUUCAGUGGUUUUUUUUUCUUCUUCUUUUUUUCUUCCUCUUCUCAUGGGGCGUGAACAAAUACUGCAUUGCUACAUUUAGAAGAAGCCGGCUACCCUUGUUUUAUUUGAGACGAUUCCGUCUCCAGCGAUAAUUCCUAUCGGUUUCUUACGUCCGAGAAACCACCUUUUCACCAAGCAAUCAACCGAUGAACCAUCCAACCAACCACCGCACGCAGUCCGUCCACUCAUGCACUCCCGCACAUGUACUACUGACGCUCUCACUGGUGUCAUUGGUAUAGAUCGAUUGGCAGUUUCCACGUCGAUCUCCACUUAUGCACAAGCAUGUGUUGAGAGAGUACCAGAAUUGGUCAUUGUCUUCUCUUACUUUAUACUACAGACAAGCGUGUCCCCCGUCCUUGUCGGAUAGUCAGUCCAGUGUCUCACCAUGAAGAUCUCCGCCAAAUUGGCAAUAUUCGUAUUCAUUUGUAGUGGCAAUUGCCUGGCCAAUAUACUCCCAGAGUUUGACUCUGAUGCCAUUCGCGUGGGGAUUUUCGAUCCCAACAAUGUGGUGAUCCACGUGGGACAGAACUUAGUCAAUUUCCUGUCGAGCAGUUUAGCCUGGUUUGUCUUGCUCCAAUUCCCAGAUCUGUCCAAAGUGAAGCCCAAGGAAGAGGAGAAAGAGGCCAAAGACAUGAUGGAGCCUCAACAGGAAGCAGGCAGAUACAUGAAUGUGAAAGAACCAGCCGCCAGAUAUGGAGCCAAACGAAGGUGGCGUCAUCCCAGACGGUCUUCACCUAGAGUGUACGAUCGGCCGAUCCCAAUUCAAUAUGUGUCCAAGGUGUUGAGGUUGAUAGCCGACGCAUCUGAUCGGAUGUCCAAGUUUAUGGACGCUCUGUGAUCAAUCCUAGUGGAUGUGAUAAUGAAGAUGCCUGGUUUGUGUACCGUGUACACAAAAAACCAACAAAAAUGUCGAUGUUAUGAUUCGACUCCUCCUCAUGUGUCAAAAUAAUGGAAUCGUCCAACCUAGAGAAUAAAGUUCAAUUCCCUUCAAAUGCAGUUUAACCACUCGCUCAUUAUUGCCUUGGAAAAGCGAGGAGUUGCACUAGGUCAAGGCCCUUUGGAAAUUUUGAACUUGACCCCUUCCUAAAUAACCUAUAUCCCGUUUUCUUUAAUCGAAACGAGCUAGCGAUAAAGCGAAUGUAUGCCCGGCAAAUUCCAGAUCCAUUUCGUUUGCUCUCAAAGCCUGGCGUAAUCUUCAACAAACCUUGACCAUC